GAGUUAAAGAUAACCAACUACAAUAACGAAAUGAAAGAUAUACAAGCUCAAUUAUUUAUUUAUUUUUGUAAUUUGCUUUCUUAAAUUUAAAAGCUUAAUUAUUUUGGUAAAGGUACGAUGGUCAAGUGAUUAUAGCAUUGGCAUAAUCACGGGGAAAAAUAUCUGUAAAUUAUAUUGGUAAAGGUACGAUUUAAAUUUGACUAAUUCUUGGGUGAACCUAUAGAUUCACCAACCACUAAUAAGUUGCCAACUCAUAUCCAGUUUUUAGAAAAAAGAAGGUAAAAAAUAAUUAGAAAUAGUAUCAACUAAUAAAAAGGAAAACGAGAAAAAAAGGAAACAGAAAAA
rnacentral:lncRNA from 1 species